rnacentral:lncRNA from 10 species
UGUCAUGGAACUCACAUUGUAAUUGGCAAUGAUAGACAAUAAAUGGUUAUGCAGUAUUUCCAAUGAUGACAAAUGCUGUGGGAAAAAAAAAAAGCUAGGAAAAAAUGGUUAAGGGAUGGAGAGUGAUGCAAAGGGUGCCAUUUUAUAAAGAUUAGAAUCAUUCUGGCUACUAUGUGGACAAAAACUGUAGCAGGUAAAGAACAGGAGCCAAGAAGCCAGUAUGGAGCCAAAGAGCAGGCCAAGUGAGGGAUGAUGACUCACUCACUGGCUAGCUGAGUGGUUCUUGGGUAUGUAGAAAUCUUCAUUUCUUCUGAAUGUUU